AUCACAAUUAAUCCUCACUUAACAUCACAUUAAUCUCAAUUAAUUAACCAUAUUCAGGAUUUUAACAUGUAAUUGAAAUUGAAAAAGGGGCUAGGGUUACGUGUGAGGAACUCGGCUUCUUCCUCUCUCUCGACUCAGACGGCGGCUUCAUCGUCUUCACCGGCGAGGAUUCUUCAAUCACCACCGGCAAACAAACACGUUCGAAACUCGUCUCUCAUCUCUCUCGACUCAGACGACUGCGAUUACCUCUCACUCUUCGACGGCGGCUCUCUCAGCAAGCUCUCUUUUCCCGUCUCGAUCUCUUAAGCCUUUGCUCUCAAUCUCUUUCGCCUUCUCCGAUUCAAAAAUAACCUCAGCGCAAGAACGAAUAAUGGAUGCUUACCGACCGGAGUUACGUCUUGGACGGCGUUGAUUCGAAAUCCAGCGAAGAUGCUUCAACUUUCAGAGAUGAACGUGAACUGUAGCUUGAGGCUUCUAUGUGAAGAAGAUUAUUGAUGAUGAUUUUCGAUGAAGCUAGAGUGCGAUGAAGAUUGAAAAGGUUCUAGAGAGAAGAUCCAGAAAGAAAGUAGAGGGAGAAAGAUAUUAAAGAUAUGUUGAGGAUGAUGAAGAGAAGAGUGGUGAAGAGUGUUGAGAUGAAUUGGUGGUUAUGCGGUGAGUUCUCAGAAUUCUGUUGCAUUUUUUGUUAUCUCCUCCCAAUUCUGUUAUCUGUGAAUCUGCUUACCCAUUUGGUCACGAAGCAGCUAGUGGUUUUUGUUGUUUUGGAUGGCUGCCGGGUAUGAACCGAGGCGGUUCGGUUUUCAUGGAGCUGCGGAGUGGUUUUGUUUACUGUCAAUUAACUUGGACCAGUGUAUACCGUCAAUUAACUUGGACAAGUUAGAAGUAUUGCUGAACCGGUUUAUUCUUUCUUCUUGAAGUGUGCAGAAUUUUCUCCUUGAGCCGAUGCCCCUUUUUUUGUGUCGAUUCGGUUUAUUUGCUGUGCAGGUUUGCAAGGCUAGCUUGAACAAAAAUUGGAAUAUCCUUUAUUGCGCUUUACCUUGAGUAUACGCUCAUGAAGAUGAGAAACUUGGCUCAUGAAGAACUUGAAGAUGAAGUUUAAGCAUAUUCUUAGAAUUUUUCAUGGACUUUUGCGAUGCAUCUUGUAUGAAUGACUUUCUUGUAUUUUUCGGGUUCUAUUGUAAUGAAAGUUCUUUGUAACAAAUUAUGUUUCUAAACGAUGAGCUUGGAACAAACUUGUAUUUCGAACACUUUGUAUUUUUGAA